GUUGGUUGACUGGUUACAGGUCCUGGCCGCAGGUAAUGAUGCCGGGACCUGCAUGGCCAGGGCCAGAGGGGAGAGGUCCCGGGAAGGCCGGGUCACAGCCGGUAGGGCUGCCUGAGAAGGAGCGUCCUUGACAGAGGCCAAGCCAGAGGACCCCAGUGCUAGGGAGCCGAGAGCAAUGCCCAGCAAGUCUGGUGGAAGCAGAUAAGUGUGGGCGGGGCCGAGCAGAGGGAAGGCCCAAGGGAGGGGUCACACCCACACCCGGAGCAGAUGGAGACAGAGCAGAAGGAGGCCAUGGCAGAAGCCACAUUUCCCGGCAUGUUUACUUCGCUAUAUUCAAAUGUGAGCAGACCAGCGAAAUCCUGACUCCGCCUGCCUGACUCAAGCACCUCACUCCGGCCGAAUCACCCAGGAGCACUGGCAACCGCUGGAGCCCCAGGCCUCCUGCAGGACGGAGCCUCAGCCAGCCUCAGGUGGGCUGCAGGGGAUUCGAAUGCCAGCCGGGGGUGAGGCCCUCGGCUGUAACAUUGGAGUCUGCUGUGGAGAGGAUGCUAACCAGGCACACCAUUUCCACCCUCAACACGGUGGCGAGCACACCUGCAGCCUGGCUCCUCCUUCAUUGGCAGGCUUGGGGGACCUGAGCUGCUGCUCAUCUGACAAGCUCCCCAGUGAUGCAGCGACGCUGGUUCCCGGGCCACAUGGGGGUGGCCAGGCUUUAGGAGCAAUAAAUUUGCCUAUUUGGACUUUUCAUAUAAAUGAAACCCUACUGGGG